rnacentral:rRNA from 1 species
AAACUUUCAACAACGGAUCUCUUGGUUCUGGCAUCGAUGAAGAACGCAGCGAAAUGCGAUAAGUAAUGUGAAUUGCAGAAUUCCAGUGAAUCAUCGAAUCUUUGAACGCACAUUGCGCCCAUUAGUAUUCUAAUGGGCAUGCCUGUUCGAGCGUCAU